UACCCAGAAGACUGAAGUAGAGAAUGAUUGACUAUGCCUUUGAGGUGAUGAUAUCUAAGGAUUUUUAGAAGAAGUGUUAGGGUGAAGUUUCUUUUGGUAUAGCUUUUGGAGAUUAUGAAGAAUAACAAGUUUUAGGAGUUCUGAUGUUGUGUUGUGAGCAGGAAAAGAAGCUUAGUGAUUUUGAGAUUGAAU